UACGUAGGGUGCAAGCGUUGUCCGGAAUUAUUGGGCGUAAAGAGCUCGUAGGCGGUCUGUCGCGUCUGCUGUGAAAACUCGGGGCUUAACCCCGGGCCUGCAGUGGGUACGGGCAGACUAGAGUGCGGUAGGGGAGAGUGGAAUUCCUGGUGUAGCGGUGAAAUGCGCAGAUAUCAGGAAGAACACCCGUGGCGAAGGCGGCUCUCUGGGACGGUACUGACGCUGAGACGCGAAAGCGUGGGGAGCGAACAGG
rnacentral:rRNA from 1 species